UGGACAGAGAGCUUGUUGACUCCUUUGCUCCAGACCAGCGUCCUGGAGACAUGGAACAAGUUUUAGGUGGUUUCACAACUUUCUCAAAGCUCGUCCUGAUACACCAAGUGGUGAGUCAGAGCUCAAGUCCAGGUCCUGUCUGUCCGCAAACCUUGAGCUCCCUCUGCCAUGCAGGAUGCCUUUCCACCAACCAGCAUCCAGACUCACACCAAUGUCCAUUUUUAAUUGGAGUACGACAUCCAUAUAGGAAAGGGCAUCAACCCUAAGGGCACAGCACAGGGAAUCUCCACACACCGGACGCACCCACAUGACUAUCACCGCACCAAGAAGGAAUGCGGGACCGACAACCCAGAAUCUCUUCACUUUCUCCUUUCUUGUCACUAUCACCCAAAGGACUAACCACCGCCCUGACUUCUAACCAUAAUUUUUUGCCCUUAAAAUUUUUAAA